rnacentral:rRNA from 1 species
GACGAACGCUGGCGGCGUGCCUAAUACAUGCAAGUCGAACGCAGUGGGGACGGGUGAGUAACACGUGGGUAACCUCCCAUCAGAGGGGAUAACACUUGGAAACAGGUGCUAAACCGAUACUGAUGGAUGAACCCGCGGUGCAUUAGCUAGUUGGUGAGGAAACGGCUCACCAAGGCCACGAUGCAUAGCGAGCUGGGUAGGGUUAUCGGCCACACUGGGACGGAGACACGGCCCAGACUCCUACGGGAGGCAGCAGUAGGGAAUCUUAGGAAAUGGACGAAAGUCUGACCGAGCAAGGCCGCGUGAGUGAAGAAGGUGUUCGGAUCGUAAAACUCUGUGGUCAGAGAGGCGUGAUCUAACCAGAAAGCCACGGCUAACUACGUGCCAGCAGCCGCGGUAAUUC